UCAGACAAACAGGAAGUGACCUCAGACAAACAGGAAGUGAAUCAGAGUCAGCUGGUGAUGACCAGAAGCAAAGGAGUCUCCUCUGAAAUGUCUGUUGGUGGGAGGAGUCUCCUUCAGGAACAACCAAUCAGAACAAGCUGCAGACAGACAGAAUCUGCUGACUCCUGGACCCGGUGUCUCCUGUCCUCCAGGACCAGAUCUGUGCUCCCUCUGUCCCUGUCCUGAUUAGUCCUGGUCCCUGUCUGACUCCGCCUCCAUCAUGGAACCAGGAAUGACUUAAUGCUUUUAGAACGAGACCACAGCCACUGCUUCCAGCACAGAAGCUGCUGAAACUUUACUCCUGGACAUUAAUCACCUGAAAGCCUCUGAUGCAGCAGACUGAUGGAAAAUAUAAAGACAGAACUGUGCAGACCUGGACGGGAC